GACGAACCGUGCGAACGUUAUUCGGAAUCACUGGGCUUAAAGCGCGUGUAGGCGGUCCGGCACGUCCGUCGCUGAAAUCCCCCGGCUCAACCGGGGAACCGGCGCGGAUACGACCGGGCUGGAGGAGGGUAGGGGGAUCGGGAACUUCCGGUGGAGCGGUGAAAUGCGUUGAGAUCGGAAGGAACGCCCGUGGCGAAAGCGCGGUCCUGGACCCUUCCUGACGCUGAGACGCGAAAGCCAGGGGAGCGAACGGG
rnacentral:rRNA from 1 species